AGCAGUCGUGUCCGAGGGUUAAGGCGAUGGACUCGAAAUCCAUUGGGGUCUCCCGCGCAGGUUCGAAUCCUGCCUGCUU
rnacentral:tRNA from 1 species